rnacentral:rRNA from 1 species
GACGAACGCUGGCGGCGUGCUUAACACAUGCAAGUCGAACGGUGAAGCGCCUUCCUUUUUGGUGGGUGUGGAUGAGUGGCGAACGGGUGAGUAACUCGUGAGUAACCUUCCCCCUUCUUCUUGAUAACCGCAUGAAAGUGUUGCUAAUACGGGAUAUUCUGGGUCUGUCGCUUCAUGGGUCUGGGACAGAUUUUGUUUCGGUUGUGGAUGGGCUCGCGGCCUAUCAGCUUGUUGGUGGGGUGAUGGCCUACCAAGGCGGUGAUGCGUAGCCGACCUGAGAGGGUGGGCGACCACACAGGGACGGAAAGGCGGAGCAGACUACUAGGGGAAGCAGCAGGGAAGAAUAUGGCACGAGCGAAGGAAGGAUGAAGCAACGACGCGGCGUGAAGGAUGGAGGCCGGAGCGUUGAGAACCGCUAUCAGGAGUGAAGAAAGGUGGCAUCGUUUGUGCGUGGGUUGACGGUAGCUGGAGAAGAAGCGACGGCUAACUACGUG